UACUGAAGGUGCAAGCGUUAAUCGGAAUUACUGGGUGUAAAGCGUGCGCAGGCGGUUUUAUAAGACAGGUGUGAAAUCCCCGGGCUCAACCUGGGAAUGGCAUUUGUGACUGUAAGACUAGAGUACGGUAGAGGGGGAUGGAAUUCCGCGUGUAGCAGUGAAAUGCGUAGAUAUGCGGAGGAACACCGAUGGCGAAGGCAAUCCCCUGGACCUGUACUGACGCUCAUGCACGAAAGCGUGGGGAGCAAACAGG
rnacentral:rRNA from 1 species